UACGAGCGCUUCGAGCCGACCAGCUGGGCCUCUCCGGCCGAGGCCGUGCAGGGCGGACCGCUAACGGACGGGGCUACCCGCCUUCCUAAGCCUGCAGAAGUCAACAAGCUACCCACCCUCGGCACGCACGCGCAGCAAAACGGCCCCUGCCCCGAAGCUCCCCCCUCGCCCAGGGCUCCCCUCCCCAAGAGGCCAUCCCGCUGCGAGCCCUCCACCCUGGGAGAGCCAGGAGCCCGGGAGCUGCGGAGGCGCCCCGCUGCCACUCGGCGGCGCUUGUCCCGCCGCACGCCGCGCCGUCCGAGGGCAGGGAAAAUCCUGCCCUCAGAGACCCCCGGCUUCCCCGCGGGCUCUUCACACCGAGGCCUCUUCACGCGCGGCCCCGACCUGGGACUGACGGGUUCGCGACUGCCCUGCCAAUCAGAGUGGCCGACCGACCAAUCACCGUGCUUUCCUCAGAGUGGCCGACCGACCAAUCACCGUGCGCGGGAAUCCUCUUCGGCUCUUCGGCCCUUCGGCCCUUCGGCCCUCCGGCGUUCCCUGUUGCUGGGCCCUCCCCGGGCCUUCCGCCGCGCUCGAAAGCUUCGUUCUUCUUGGUUUAAUUUCCCCUUUUUUCUCAGACACUUCCGGGUCCUGCGUCGCUCCGGAAGCCGGCGAGUUCCGGAAGCCUGGGUAAUCCAGGUUCUGCUAGGAGAAGCCAAGCUUCCCAGAGAAUGUCUCAGAGAAAGUUACGUGGAACGGGGGCGUUUCGCAGACUCCUAAGACCUCUCCCUUCUUAACUGCCUGUCAAUAAGGAGUCAAGCCUCAAGGAGGAAAAGCAGCUGGACAGGUAAUAACUCCUGGGGAUGGGCCUUAGCCAGACUGCUCCAGGAAUCUGGAAAUAAGAAGUAAAAGGCUGGGAAUCCUAGAUUGAAGAAGACCAUGCAUAAAAAUGAAACAGUCUGAACCAUCACAGAUCAAGAAGAAAAACAACAACAACAACAACCACAAAAACCCAAUCAUUUCAAAAUUGGACUUCCAGCCUCCAGAACUGUAAGAAAACGUGUUUGUGUUGCUGAAGCCGCCUACAGUAUGGUGACCGCGCAAACAGACUAAGACAGGUGCCAACCUUGGAUAAUCAAUAAUGGUACAUAAAUGUUAAGUGUCUCCUUCUCUGUGCAGUUUCCCCCCACCUAUCCAAGCCGAGUUCUUUCCUCCCAUCUUUCUGUUGUCAGAGGACCUUGCAUACGCACUGCCUGCAUCACACUGUAUUGUUACUAGUUGUGUACACAUUCUCAUCUAGUAAAAUAUAAGUUCCUGGAGAAGAGAGAUCAGUCCAAAGUUAAUGCCUAAUGGUGGGUAAACAUGAAAUAACCAUAAGAGGCAAACAUUAUUAACUCCAUUUUGCAAACAAGAAAACAAGUUCUGGCAUUACUGAGAUCUUGCUGUAAGCAGUCAGUGGAACAAAGAUUUGAACCAAUGUCUGUCAAUCUCCAAGGCACAUUUUCUUUUAAUAUUAAAUUUCAGCCUUCCUCUCAUCCCUUUCCCUCUAUUUUGUCAAAAUUCUGCACUUGGUUCCUGAACACCAGCUCUGCCUUCACCACUGAAUCAUCUCUUCAUUACUUACUUCCUUGCUUUUCCACCAUUUCUGCCCCUUAAAUCCUGUCAGCUUUCUAUGUCCUGGGUCCUUAACCCAUUGUCAUCUACCCACAUUUUUGGAGUUGACACCCUGAUUAAAACAAUGCAGUAUGAUAAUAUUGAGUGACUCUGUAUUUAAUUAUUUAACAAUGCUUUCCUAGUGGGCUAGUUAUAAUAACAUAGCUAAUGAAUCAAUUUAAUUAGAGAUAAACAAAUUUGUUCGUUUUCCUUUUAAGAUUAAUCUGAUUCUCUUUUUCAUUGUAUUUAUUACUACAAAAUAACAUGAAAUCUUUUGUUAAAUCACUUAAAACCAUUGGGUUUAUGUUAUCAGGCACAAAAAAUGUUUGCUAUCACAAGUCUUUAAUUACUUUUCCCACUCAUACUAGGCACUCCCAAGUAAUAUAUAAUGUGAAUUUAUUAAACUAUUGCAAAACAGAGAAGAGCAAAACAGCAGACUUUCUUAAAAGUCAUCAUAUUUUGAUGAUUCAGACAGAGCAGCAAUAUAAAUAGAUUAAUAAAAUUAAGAGUGAUUCAUAUUCAUUCUCUGGUUCAAUUAGCUUCACUAAAGAAAGCAUGAUCCCAUUCUAAGGCUAAAAGAAGAUCUUUUGUAGCUGAAAUUUUAAAUAUGCCACUUUAAAACAUGUGCUUUAUUUAAAUUGGAUUGACUGUCCUUAAAGCAUAAGACCUUAAAAUAUUUAUGAGGCAUUUUUGGUUGAAUGCAAUCCAUAGCAAGCCAUAUUGGCUAUAAAAAGUACAUUAAAAAUACUAGUAAUAACCCAUAAUAUUAUUUUCAAGAUAAAUCUUUUCCUGAUCAGUGAUAAUGUUGUCUCAUUCUUUGAGUUACCAUCUUUAUUUAGUAAAAGAUCUCCAAGUUUCAGCUCAAAGAUGUUCUCACACCAGGGUUCCAAAUAAGUUAAUAGCCUGUUUAAGAACUGUCAGAGCUAGACAGUAAAAAUUGAAGCCACAUUUCAAUUAAGUUUGUUCAAGUCGAGCAUUUAGGCUUUUCCAGACUCUAGAAUCAGAGGCUUCACAGGAAAAAAAAAAAAAUCAAGACCCACUAAAUUUCCAAACUACCCUAUCAAAUAUAUUCACUGUAUUUCAAUAUGCCAAAAGAAGAUUCCAUGGUGUAAGAUAAACUCCUAAGGCAAUAUAAUACAAAAUGAAUAACAGCCUAGAUCCAUUGAUUCUAGUGUUAAAAAAAAAAAAAAAGAAAGAAAGAAAGAAAGAAAGAAGGAAUGAGUAUAAAGGGACUGGCAUUGUAUUGACUUCUAUUUAUUUUUAUAAGGGUUGUUAGUCCCAGGCCAGUUGCCCCUUAAUUGCUCAGCAAGGUCUUGGGUGGCUUUCUGCUCAACUUGUGUGUUCCCAUGGAAUACAUUCUAAUUGCAGGUAUUGGCUAUCCAUGAAUCAUGUAAAUCUCAUUCUAUGAAAAGCCACAAGUAAGCUUCUCCUACCAGGAAUACACUCAUUCCAAUGACCUGUUAUUCUAGAUUAUUCACACUGCUGCCUUCUUCAGUCAUUCAAGGUAUAUCUUUUGCUUGUCUACCAGAUGCUGCUGUAUUUAACAUGGGAAAAACAAAGUGAGAAGAAACAGUUCUCACUCUCAACAAGCAUACAAGAUGACAAGCAGUUGUUCAAUGUGUCAGGACUUACUGUGCUUUGAUCCUUACAACAAGUGCCUUGUAGGGUAGGUGUCACCAUCCUCAUUUACAGAUGGGGACAACAGCAAAAAUAAAGGGUAAAUAUGAAGUCCAAGGCCACGGAGCAAAUCUGUUACAGAACUUGUAUUCAUACCUAGGGUAGUUUUAUCUAGUCCCCAAACCUAUGGGCCUUUAAUUAUUCCUUUCUGCUUUCCUUUAUCCGUUUAAAUGUACAGUCGACAUUUAAAAAUGGAUUUGUUUGUUGUCUUCCUGAAACCAUCCUUAUCUGUUCUUCUUAAAAAAUGACUUUACUAUCUAGUAGGCUAAGACUUUACUACAUUUGAUCUCUUUUACAAAAAUAAUGCUUUUUUGAAAUAUUUUAGGCACUCAAAUACCAUACAGGGUCUUGUGCCAUAAAUAUGUUUUACUUCCCCAACAUGUGAAGAGAAUAGGUCCACAGGGAGCACCCCCAAAUGAGCCCCAUUCUUCAGGCCAGUCAUAGGGGGUAAAACAGCUGAGAUUAGAAUGAGUGUGGUCAUGAAGAAGCACGUCCUGAAGAAGAGCCAAAAAGGACUCACAGUCAUUCUAGAAUCUGAGGAGUGAUUUUUAACAUGCCAGGAAGAAGUGAGUCAAUAAGGAAGAAUGUAAAUCAAAAGGGUACAAGUGAAAGGAAAAACACAGUCACUUUUAUGUAAAUCGAAAGGUCUGCUUUUGCCAAAAGGAAAUUCUGGGAAAGAUCUCUCCUGGACAUCAGCAAAACACAGGCAAGUUCUCAUUUGUUUUCAUCCUUCUGUCAGGAACAAUUUUCCCAGACCAGUGGGGCAUGUAGGACUAGAAUGGAAAUGGAUGGAUUGAAAUUUGUCUUUGCCGUGAAACCAUGAAAGGUACAAAGAGACAUUUUUGGUUUUCGCCUUCCUUUUUUCUUGAGAAAUUUUCAAAACUGGUGUAUGAGCUGGACUAAACUCUGAGCUAAGACUAAAUCCUUUCUAGACCAUUUUAAGAUGUAAAUAGUAAACUGGAAGCCAAGAAAUCAACCAUUUUUUAUUUUGUUAAUCUUCCGUAACAAUGGAAAUUAGCCCAUUUUAUUUUUACAAAAAAGGUUUUCUUUAUAAAAAGUAAUGGUUUGUGGUGGGGUUUGAUAGUACUAAUAAUAAGUAAAAUAAUAAGCUAAACUUUGAUAGUAUUAAUAGAUUAUAAACCUUUUUUAGAACUAAUUGUCAAACUGACAUUUCACUUUUGACAUAUUACUUAAUUUCUAUUUUAACGCAUAUAAUUUGAGAUCUUUUACCCCCAAGUAACUUUAUCAAAGAGUGGAUGGCACUUAAAAAGUAAAUUAUCCACACAUUUUUGGAAAUCUGAGAAGUCUUUUAUCAAAAUCCUCCUAAAUAUUUUCAAUAUUUUUUUCUAAAAUGCCCAUUCUUCUGUCAGAAAAUUACUUAAAGUCUCAAUUUAUUCCUGUAAUGGAGCCCGUGUUUAUUUUUUACUGCUGUUGCAACAAAUGACCACAAGCUUAGUGGCUUAGAUGACAUAAAUAUAUUAUCUCACAGUUCCAUAGGUCUGAAGUCCAGCAUGGGUCUCACUGGGACAACAUGAAGUGCUGGCAGGCUGUGUUCUUAUCUUGAGACUCUAGGGAGAAUCUGUGUCUUGCUUACGUAGAUCUGGACGGACGUCAGUGUUACACAGUUUGCAAGACUGAGAUCUUUGCUUCCUUGCUGGCUGUAGCUGACAGGUACAUUAGCUCCUAGAGAAGGUCUUUGUCUGCAGUCUUUGCACGUGGCCUCUUACUUCCCAGAACCAGCAACAGGAUGUGGGGUCUUCCCAUGCCGUCAUCUUGGACCACAACUGGAAAAUGUUUCACCUUCAAGACCUCAUAUAAUUAGAUCGGGUCCAUGGAGAUAAUCCAAGAUAAUUUCCCUAUUUUAUGAUCCUUAAACUUAAUCACAUCUGCAAAGUUCUUUUUGCCUUGUAAGGUAAUAUAUGCACAGGUUCUGGUGAUUGGGAUGUGAGCAUCUUUGGGAGACCACUAUUCUGCCUGCCGCAGCUCCUCCACUGUAAAGGAAAACUGGAUUCCUUCAGAUGAUCAGCUUUUCCAGUAACUCUCGAAUUAAAAUGGUCAUUGCCCCAAAUUUAUAAUAUUUCAGAACCAGUAGAUACAGUAAAAAUCCACCUUUUCUUGUUGCCAGUUAGUCUUUGCUUGUCCAGAAUCCUUUAAUUUUUCUUCCCAAUUUUUGUGUAUGUUUCUAUUCCUAUUCUUAUCAUGAUGAUUUUACUUAAUUUCAGGGAGUUCCCCUUCACGCUUGGAAUUCCUGAAACCAGUAGACUACUGGCCCAAUACUCAGAUAUCACAGUUCCUGGAUGAAAUCCAACAUGUUUUUACCCCUAUUCAAUUUUAAUUCAGCCAUACUCUAGUACCUACAAUUUUUAGACUCUUUUAGUCUUAAAUAUUAAAUUGUAAAUUCUUUCUCUCUAACCCUUACUGUUGAGUUUCCACUGCCAAUCCUGCACUACUACCAAGGCUUCUCUGUAAUUCCAUCCAGUCUUCCCAGUCAAACUUCUCUCUACUCUCAUCAUCAUUUAUAUCAGACUCAUUAAUUUUAAUCAGACCAACCUCAUUCGUUAACUUAUUGAUCAAGUUGUUAUUUAAAACCUGUUCUCAGGGCACCUGGGUGGGUCAGUUGGUUAAGUGUCUGACUCUUGAUCUCAGCUCAGGUCUUAUCUCAUGGCUGUGAGUUCAAGCCCCACACGGGGCUCCAUGCUAGGCGUGGAACCUACUUCAAAGUUAAAAAAAUAAUAAUAAUAAAAUAAAAUAUAUUCUCUGCUAGACAUUGUGUUGGUCAAUGCAGAUUUUGCAGAGACAGUUCAGUUGUUCCUGAUCUGUUUACAAUCUGGUUUUACUUUCCUUCCUACUCACCCCGAUCCUCAUGAAAAUUUCAACUGUUUAUUCACAAGUAUUCAAACAUUUUUUGACUACUUAACUUUGUACUAAUGCUACUGUAUAAUUAUUUCCCCAAUAAAGGUUCCGUGCUUUCCUAAGUCUUUAAUUAGGCAAAACAAUAAAUAUUAGGUGGUUAAAUAAGUAAACAUGGGCAAACCCUAAAAAUCUACUUUCUCUUUUUGAAUUCCCUGACUUUCUGAAUAAAGUUGUCAAAAAGUGACAUCACCAAACCUGAAUUAUUUGAUGACCAGGACAUAUGUCAGCCUUUGCUAGACCAAUACUGCUCACUAAUUCAUUUAAUUAGUUAACUUACUACUCUUUUUACAUUGAUAACUGCAUAUUGUUUCUGCUUUUCUUAUCCCUAUAUACAACCCAUACUGUAUAUCACAGAAAAAAUGAAGAUCACCAGGUACAAAUUCUCUUAAUUUCUAUCACUUACUUCUCUCCAAAUUUACUUAUAAUGGCAGUCCCUACUUUCUAGGCUAACUCUGCCACUCACUUGAAUCCACUUUAUGAACACUGCCACUUCCCAAGUGUCUAUCCUUGCUCCAUCAAUUACCUACAUUUUCCCGCAUCUUCCAUGUCUUCUACACUGUUGGCUACAAGUCUGAUUGUCUCCUAUUCUAAUAAAAAUUUCCCCAUUUGUUUCUUUUAUUCCCUUCACUACUAAAUACUUCAUGGAAAUAUUCAUUACUUAUGAAAUUCACUUUCCUCUAUCUCAUUUCUUUCUUAAUCCCUUAAGAUCUUAUGCCUGCCCAUAAAAUAUCAUUGCAACAAUUAUUUAAAAGGUCAUUUAGAAUCUAUUGGUCACUUCUCAGUUCUCAUCCAGCUUGACCUCUCUAUAAAAAGAUGCUAUUAAUAAUCCUGCUAUAUUUGAAACUCUCCCUUGGCUUUCAUGUCGGUGUUGUACCUUUCUGAUUGCUCAUAUGAGCAGCAUUCCACAUUUAUGACUGCUCCUGCUAAGUCCUUCACUGACUCCUUUCUUUCUGUCUGUCCCACAUCCAAUCCUCCAUAAUGACCUCUCCGUCUGUGCCUGGUCCAGAGGAGACUUCUUCCAUAUAUACAGUGUCAGUGAAUAUCUCUGAGCUGAUUACUCUUGAGUCUCUAUCUCCAGUCCUGAUAGCUUAACAGAUGCCCCAUAUUGAAUCUUUAAGCAAGCUCUCUCAACCUUUGCAGGGCUUGGUUGAAGAGUACUAAUGGAAGCUGACAUACCAUUUUUCUAAAUAUGUUAAAAUUAUAAAUCCAUCUAACAAACUGCUAAAAAUAUGUAUAGUUGAUUCUUCUAUCCUGACAAGUAUUCCUCCAUAAAAACUUGGAAGGCCAGGUUCAAAUUUAAACCUCUCAUGUUUCUGGGAAUUCCUCUCCAGAAUAACAGAAGGGGGUAACCAUUCUAGAUUUGUCCCCUCUCCUUUUCUUUUUUACCUUCUGGCCCUAUCCAAUACCACAUAGGGCCUCAUGUAUAAGCAUGUGGACCUCCAUGCCUCAGGUGAAGGAUUCAACCAUAUCCUUGCAACCUUUGAUCAUCUCUUGGGCCUAAGGGAGGUACAUCAGAGGAUGGACCCAAUGAGGAGGGCUGCAUCAAUCCCAGAAGUGGGCUUGGAGCUAUUUUAUCAUGACAUGAAAGGGUCUCAGGAACCCAGAGUUGAUCUAUUCAUGGGCAGUGGACUCCAGGGCACAUCCCUCUUGGAGCUGUGAAGUCCUCGCCAAGGGCAAGCAUAUCCAAACCAGACACCUCUCAGUUGUGGGUCCCAGGGAAAGGACUCCUUUGCCAGGAUCUAAGGACAGGACUGCAAUUAUUACCUGCCAAUCAUCUCUGAGAAUGUUAUAGUGGUGUAUCCAAUUUUCUUUUUUUUUUUUUUCCCAAUCUGAUCUUAUCUCACCAGGAUUAUUCUUUCUAAUCCUGGUCCUCUCCACUAUGGUCCUAUGCAUGUAUCCAAUCUACUUACUCACACAGGUCAGAGAAGUCAAAGUCAUCUUCAACCUCAUCACAUCCCUCUCCCCUCAUUGAUAUGGUCACCCACAAUAUUGCUCAUCUCUGAAAUGCGUUUAGCCCUUUUCUUCUUUCCAACUUCAAUUCCAUUGCCCUAGCUGGGACAUUCAUUUUCUUUCCUGAGUAGGCUCUCAACUAGUCUUUCUCUUUAUGAUCUCUUGACUCUCUAGUCCAUUCUUCUAAUUCAACUCAUCUUUCAAUAGGUCGGAUAAUGACACAUCCCUCCUCCAAAUUUUCAUUGGUUUCUCACUGCCAACCAAAAAUAUUUUUAGCAUGUCAUCAUAUGCUUUUUACAUAAUACCUCACAGAUUCCUACUCUGGCCAUACCGGCUAAUUUAUGAUGCCAACAUCUAAAUACUUUUAUACUAUUUUUAAAACUUUUCUUCUCCUAGCUUAGAAGAACUUUCUAUUAGGUUUACUCAAAAGCCAUCAUGUCAAGAAACCUAUCCUGAUCCUACUUUCAGAAUUAAAUCAGUUCUCCCUCUACUUUUAAUUCAUCUUGAUCAUCCCUCUACUCCUCCAUUCCUCCACCCAUCAAGUCAUUCAACAAAAGUUUAUUGAAAACCUCCAGUGAACCAGGCACUCUGCUCUGUCCUGUGAGAGUUUCUGCUCUCAUGGAGCUCAGGUUAAUGGAGAAGACAGAUAUUAAUCAAAUAAUGACCCCAAAAUAUAAGGAAAAAGUGACAUGAACUAAGAAAAAAGCUCUGUAAGAAAGGAGAGUGUUUUGUGAGAAUGCAUAACUAGUUUUUCUUGGACAGUUGGGAUGAACUUGGCUGAGGAAUUGACAGGGAAACUGAGAUCUGAGGGGCUACUAGGAGUUAAUUGGAUGAAGAGGGAAGAAACAUCACAGGUAGAGGGGCUGAGAACGCAAAAAGCUUCAUGACGGGAGUGACGAUGGCUUAUUUAAGGACCUGAAAGAGAGUUAAAGUGAAGAAAGCAAGGGCUGAAUGAUGUGAAAGAAUCUCUUGUGACAAGGAGUGUCCAUCUAGAUUUUGUCCUAAUUCUAACAGAAAUGGAAAACCUCUGAUGAGUUUUAUGCAGGGAGGUGACACAGUUUUGUAAAGAACUUUCUGGUGGUAAUCUGGAAAAUUAUCAGAGGAUGACAGAACAGGAUGCAGACUAACCAUUCUUAAAACUACUGUAGCUCAGGUGAGAAUUGGUAGCUAGGGUUGUGGUAGUGAUAAAAGAAGUGUACAUAUUUGAGAAAUAUUGAGAUCAUGAAAUCAUCUAGACUUAGGGAUGGUUUGAUAUAGUGGGUGAGAGAGAGGAAGAUGUCAAUGUUUUGCGAUUAUGCCUAAUGAGUAGUGGUACCAUCCACCAAGACAGAACACUGGAAGAUCAGGUAUAAGAGAGAAGAUUCUUUCAGAAUGGGGAAACUUCUGUUUAAGGUACACCUAAGACCAGGGGAGAAGUCUGUGUUUGAUGUAAAUUUGAGAUUCAUUGGCCUAAAAAUUUAAUUUCUUAGAAAAUAUAUAGUAUCAGAGGGGAUAAGAGCCAAGGACUCUUGGCUUGAGGAAUAUCACCACAUAAAAACCUAUAAGGUAUGAAUUUUUGUGUGCAGGGGACGGGGUUGGUAUGGAAGGGGGUGCACCUGUGAAGAAGUCUGGGAAUUUUUUCGGCUUUGAUUUAUACUUACAUAUGCUCUGUGUGUCUCCCCCACUGAAAAUUCCUUAAAGAUAGAAAGGAUAUCUUACUUAUACUUAUAGUACCCCCCCCCCGCACCGUGUCUAGGAAUACCAUUAAUGAUAUGAUGCUUGAAUUGAAUGCUGGUGACAUUUUGACAGUGAUUAUUUUCUUCUUGUAGAAAAACACUGUCUUUUCAAUCUGGAAUCAUUUGUAUUCAUUUAAUGUUUUAAAAUGUAAUUCAAAACUUUUUAGGCUAUGGUUUAGGAUAAUUACUUUCAAAGAAAAGUUGCACUUUCAUCCUACUCAUAAGAGAAUGAGGAGAAGGUCAUAGCGUUAUCUUUCUCUUUGUUUUGCUCAUGAGCAAAAAGCAGUCUUCUGAACUGAUUUUCAAUGUGGCUGUCACCAAAACUUGAAACUUUCAUAAACUAAAAACAUGAAAUCUAACAAUUUAAAUUUUCCAGAAGUCAUAAACUUCAUUCUAGGUCAAUUCCAUUGCAAAAUAACUCUGAAAGGUGAUCUUUUUUUAACACUUUCAACAACAAAAUGCUUUUGAUCUUAAAUAGGGUAGUUUAUAUACCUUCUAUUACAUCAUCUUUUCAGAUAAAUAAAAAUUUUCUAACUCUGGGGUCACACCUGCAUGUCAAGCCAAAUCUAGGGAAAUAUACUGUGAGAUUAAUUAUAUCUGCUUAAAAUAUUCUCUUGUCACCUUGAUCUUUCAUAAUUUUCAUACACCGAUCUUAAUGUUCAGUUUUCUUCUCUAUUUCUAAUUAUUUCUUAUCUGACUCCUUCCUCCAAAACCAAAAUUACGUGCAAAAGAAGAUGCCAUCUGAGAUCUCUAAAGCAGAAUGACAUGAGUAAUAUUUUGCAAAAUAUUCUGUUGAUGCCAGAGAUUGAGAGUGACAUUAUAUAUGGUUUUUUUUGUAUGUGUUGAGCUGAAACUUUUCCCCUCCUUGAUAAUUCUUGAUCAGAUUUAUGUAAGAAUGUAAAUAGUGUGUAUUCACUUUCAAGGUUAACAGUUCCCUGUCCCCAAAGCAGAUCACUGACAAAUGAAGGCAGCGUUUAUUACUUCGUCCCUGGAAGAAAUUCAUAAUCACCAAUGUCUAGUGAGUAAGUGCCUAUUUGCCCAAACAAUAAGCUUGUAAAAAUUUAGUCUCCAAGAAUCGGUUCUAUGUGUUCUUUAUCCUAUUUAUGUACUCUUACUACAUUUUCAGUUCACUAAAUUCAGGCCAGGGACCUCAUGGCACCUCCAGUUUAAUGUUCUAGCAAGGGACUCAGUGUAUGAGUGUGAGAAUACCAUUGAGUUACAAGGAGUCUUAAAAAAGGAGGGGAACCAAGAAGCUAGACUAGCUGCAUUAUCUGAGGCACAUAUGCUGAAGGAAAAAGAACACAGACUUUCAGUGGUUAGUGAAUACUGACCUUAAAUUACUGGCUCACAAAUUAGACAAUAAUUAGAGACUUCCACUUGUAUUUUGCCUAUAUUUCACUUUGUAAGACUUUAAUGGCUCAUUGGUUUUUCCUACAUGAAAUACUAAGCAUCCUGACAACCACGUUAUUAUUCCAAGCUGUUCUGGUCUAAAAAGGACUAGUCCUGCUCUUCCAGAUAAUCUCUGACUAUAUCUAUUAGUACAAGCUUUCAGGAAAUGAAGCUCCUUACAGAGAUUAGGGGAACAUUUGAGCAAAACAAAAGAUAAAAAAUUAUUGAGCAAAAUAUCACAAACAUAUGAUAAUUCCAAAUAGUAAUAAAACAGUACUUCCCAUAAAAUGUGUAUAUGUUUCGGGCUUUCUGAGGCAGCAAAAAAUCCAAUUGCUGGAUUCAAAUGUUUUUCACCUUUUACCAGAUGCUUUAUCUUAGGCAAAUCAUUUCACCCUUUUUAGCCUCAGUUCUCACAUCUGCAAAAUGGUGAUAAAAGUAUUUCUGAUAAUUUAUGACAAAAUCUAUGGUUGUUUUAAGGAUUAAAGCAAGAAAAAAACAUCUAAGUGCCUUGCAUAGUGCGUAUCAUAAGUAUUCAAUAAAAGUAACUGUAUUAGUAAACGGGGAAUUGAAACAAACAAUUAAACUUUAUAAUAAGCAAUUUAUAAGUUAUACUUCAAGCCAAAUGACAGAAAAGGACCAAAAAUUAAGGCAUAGCCAAAGAUAUUACUAACAAAGUUAUUAAACCACAAAGAGCCAAUAUAAAUAAUCAACAACAUAGAAUGCAAGACAAAUGAUAAGAAGUAGGACAAAAGGGAACUAUAAUCUGAUUUUUCCUUUAAAAAAGUAAAUGAACGGAGAUGUACUGUAUGGUGACUAACAUAAUAUAAUAAAAAAUCAUUUAAAAAAAAAAAGUAAAUGAAGCUAUCAUGUUGAGAAUAGAUCUUGGUGAGAACAGUAUAAUAGUGGCAAGUAUAUUUCUCUCUCAUUUGAAAAAAUUUCAGAGGUAAGCAUUCCAAGGCCAGUUUGAAGGUCUCAUAAGACAUUAAAGACCCACUUUCCUUCUGCUAUCCUUCUUUAUAAUCCUUUGAACAUUGAUUCCAGUCUCAAAGUCACAAGGCGGCUACUGGAUGUCUGGCCAUCAAAUCCACAAUUCCAGCAGGAGGAAGUAGGGAAGGCAAAAUCAACAGGUACCUUCCUUAAGAAGUCUAUCUGAAAGUCCCACCCACCGCCUUUCAUUUACGUUUCUUGUUAGCCAGGUUUAGGGACAUGGUCACAUCUAACUACAAAGGAGAGUGAAGAAGGUGGUUUUCAGACAAAACAUAUUGCUGCCCAAAUUAAUAUCAGGAUUCCAUUAUUUAGUUAAAAAGGUGAGCUAAAAGCCUCUGCUCCAAAUCUUAGGCCACAUAGAAAUAUAUUUGGAGGGAAAUAUACUCUUAACAAGAGUAUAUUUCUUACAAGUAGAAAUAAAACAGAAAACAAAAAAAGUAAAAUUAACAAAUUCAAAAGCUCUUUUUUUUUUAAUCAAAGAAAAAACAUCUGAUGAGGUUCAUCGGUGACCCAGAGGGAGUGAGACAGAGAAAAUGAAUGAGAUUGAGAGGGAACAAAUUUUAAAAAAUUAUGAAAAAAGAAAUCUGAUACAACCAAAGUUAUUGGACAGAUUUUUUAAGUGUAUGGAAAUGUUAUAAAUAAAAUUGAAUAGUAAUUUUGAAAAUUUGAGAAAUUUAUGAUAUUCAUGGAGAAUAUAGAUCCCAAAACUGAGUCAAGGAAAAAAAUUAAAAAAAAAAAGUAGAAAAAGUCUAAAUAGAUCAAUAAACAUGAUAUUUAAAAUCCUAUAAAAGAAUUUUCUUCAAAAGCCUUGUGAUUCACUGUUUUAUAAUCAAAUUAUUCAAAACUUUCAAGAAAAAGGUAAAUCCCAUUCUUUUUAAAUGUUCCAUAGAAUAAUAGGGGAAAUUUUUAAAUUAAUAUAAAUAAAAAAUGCAAUAGUGAAAUUACCCUAUUAACAAAUCCUAACAAAAGAUAGUGACAAAAAAUAAAACUAUCUGCCUUUUAAAAAUAGAUAAAAUCCUAAAUGAUUUGAUAGCAAAUAAACCAAGCAAUAUAGGAAAAAGAGAGUUCAACUAUAAUAUUAAGAAUCAAUAUAAUUAAUUCUCCUAAUAGGUCAAAAGAGCAAAAUCAAAGAUCAUUUUGAUAGAUGAUCUAAAGGCAAUUGAGAAAUUUAAUAUAUAUUCAUGUUACAAAAAAAAAACAACAACAAAACAAUGCUUAGCAAAAGGGAAUUGAGGAAUAGUUUCUUAACCUGAUAUAAACAUCUAUGUCAUCAUAAUAACUGUCAUCAUGCUUAAUGUUGGAAUAGAAAGUAAUUCCAUUUAGAGUUAAGAAUAAAGCAAAGGUACUCAAUUCACUGUUAGUAUUUAACAUCUUUCUGGAAAUGCUAAGUAAUGCAAUCAGAAAAUGAAAUGAGGUCUUACAAUUCUGGAAAGAGAGGAGCAAUUUUUUAAAUCUUAAAAUGAUAUGAUUUAUCCACAUGGAAAAAAAGUCAAGAGAAUUACCUGAAAAACCAUUAGAACUAGCAAGAGAUUUCAUUAAAUUGGUCACAUAACGAACUCAAUAGCUUUCUUACAUACUAACUUCAAUCUAAGUUCCUUGGUAAAAAAAAAAAAAAAAAAGAAAAGAAAGAAAAAAGAAAAAGAAAAGAAAAAGUCCUUUUUCACCACUGAAAUUCAGUUCCUAAUAAGUUAAAAUAUGACAGAAAAUAAAGUCUAUAUCAAAUAAUAAGCAAAAUAGAAGCUACCCAGGAAUAGACCUCUCUCUAUGGAGAAAACAAUAAAAUAUUUACAUCUAUCUAUCAUCUAUCUAUCAUCACCUAUCUAUCUAUAUCUUAUAUCUGUGUAAUGUAUUUAUAGAUUUCAACUUUUCGUCAAUUUGUGCAAAAUACCAAAAUAAACCUUUCAUAAUUUAUUGACCUGUAACUAAAAUGUAAACUACAUGAAACAAAAUUCAGCUGUUUCAGUCAUCAUCUUGAUGACUUUUGGUGAAAAAGCAGAGUAAUGCAGCCACCACCACAUUCCAACUUUGGAGCUUUCAAAAGUUCCUCCAUGCCCUCUUCCAGUCACCCCCUCCUUCUCUCCACAUCUUCCUGGACUUGCUACAGCUUUCUCUUUCCUAGAGUUUCAUGUAAAUAGAAUGGUAUACAAUGUAAUAUUUUGUGUCUAGCUCCUUUUGCUUAGUAUAAUGAUUCUGAAAUGUAUCCACAUUGUUGCAUUUAUCAGUAGUUCAUUCUUGUUUUAUUCCUAAAUAGUAUUCCAUUGUAUAAAUAGACAACAGUUUGUUUAUCCAUUUCCUAGCUAACAGGCAUUUGGGUUAUUUUAAUUUUGGGCUAUCAUGAAUAAUGCUGCUGUGAAUAUUAGUGGAUAAGUCCUUGUAUGGACUUUCUGUUUAAAUUUUUUUUUUAAGAUUUUAUUUACUUAUUUGUUUGAGAGAGAGAGUAUGAGCAGGGAGAAGGGCAAAGGA